AUCGGUGCCCUUUACUUUAAUUUUUCAUUCUAAUCUAUCUACUCCUCUCAUUCUCGCUCAAAAAUGUUCUCUCAGCAUGAGUUUAGAUUCUUUAAUCCAUGGAGUGCAAACACAAGGCUGUUGGGUUGUCACUUCCACUUCAUAGAUCUACUUCGAUCUUUGAUUGUUCUUUGAAAGCGAAAGACGGGGUGAUCUCUGAGCUACUACCAGAGAAGGGAGGAAAUGUUUCAGAAGCACAAGCGUCUCAUCAUAAAGACAGAAAGGGACCUCCAAACCAUUAACAAAUAAAACUAGCAAAGCUGAAAGGCGCACAUUACAGGAGGUCACAAAGGUGCCAAAUCUACAUAAAAGAUUCAGACUUUGUCAUUCAUGUGUGUGUGUGUGUGUGUGUGUGGGUGUGUGUGUGUGUGUGUGUGUGUGAGUUGGGGGAGGGGUUAGUCACUAGUUUGAAUUUCUGUCAACUAUCACGCUUAAUGAAAAUUUAUGGAUAUACUAUCAACAAUUUGAGGAGCAACGAACAAACACAAAGUUUGAUUGAUGAGAGAAUUAAGGUAUUAGUGGCCAACCUAUGCAGUGUGGAGACCUGGUGUUAAACCACCUAUUCUUCCUGCAUCAUUGCUGAUUCCAGGUUCCCUUCCCCUAAAGCUAAAAUGGGUCCAAGGAUCAGAUCAGGCUACCUAUUUUCCUAGACUUCCUGAUUUUCGGGUCAAGUGCUGAGGUUCUCUUUCUAUGCUCAAGGUACUCGAAUUUCCAGUCAGAAGCAAGAUCCAGAUGGCAGAUUUUGAGAAAGCUAGACAAACAAGGAUAGAACAAAAUAGAAGCCAGACAAACAAAGAUAGAACAAAAUAAAAGCAACCAGGGAUAUGUUCACUAAGGGGAAAGAGCAACAAACCAAUAAUUCCCGAUGAGUUUUUAAAGCCCUAUAAAGACCAAAUUGUGAAAGAAACUGUAGCAGAAUUAAUGAAGACACUCAAGCAAAUUGAUCCGGAAGUGUUGGAUACUUUGACUCGAUCACUUGAAAAUGUGUCAUCCAAUCCAGAACUUACAAAUCAUAUUCCGAUUGUACACUAAUGAAUAGGAGCGAAAUGAGAUCAAUUGGAUCAAGAUGAAGAAUCGGGAUAGCAAUUUAUGAUGCUAGAAGAACUCUACUUACUUUUACCGUUGUUUUGCUGCUGCUACUGCUGUUUUGCUGCUGUCUUUUACUGUUACUACUACUACUGUUGUCUAAUAUGUUGCUGACUCUUGCUCAUUCGGUUUGCUGCCACUGCUCUGUUACUGCUGGUACCAACUGAUGUCUGCUACUGCUGGAAGCUUCCACUACUAUCUGCUACUGCUGGUUGCUGCUAAAGACUACUGAUGGUAGCAUCUGUUACUGCUUCUGAUGUUCGGGUAGCUAGCUGUGUAGCUGCUGCUAUAAGCUGUUAUUAUUAAUGCUCUUUACUGUUAUUGCUGUCUUUUUUGAAAUUUGGAAGUUUUUUUUGUUUUUCCUUACUUUUUCCAAGUUAGAGAUCGAACUUAAUAUUCUUUGUGUUUGGAUUAUUAUAUUGUUUGGCCAAACAUUAAAAUUGGCGUUUAUGGAUUUUUUUUGUGAGAAUUAUGAAAGUAUUUCAAUCCAAAUUGUUUUCUAUCA